rnacentral:rRNA from 1 species
CGGAGAUGACUCCCAACCCCUGUGAACAUACCAAUUGUUGCCUCGGCGGAUCAGCCCGCUCCCGGUAAAACGGGACGGCCCGCCAGAGGACCCCUAAACUCUGUUUCUAUAUGUAACUUCUGAGUAAAACCAUAAAUAAAUCAAAACUUUCAACAACGGAUCUCUUGGUUCUGGCAUCGAUGAAGAACGCAGCAAAAUGCGAUAAGUAAUGUGAAUUGCAGAAUUCAGUGAAUCAUCGAAUCUUUGAACGCACAUUGCGCCCGCCAGUAUUCUGGCGGGCAUGCCUGUUCGAGCGUCAUUUCAACCCUCAAGCCCAGCUUGGUGUUGGGACUCGCGAGUCAAAUCGCGUUCCCCAAAUUGAUUGGCGGUCACGUCGAGCUUCCAUAGCGUAGUAGUAAAACCCUCGUUACUGGUAAUCGUCGCGGCCACGCCGUUAAACCCCAACUUCUGAAUGUUGACCUCGGAUCAGGUAGGAAUACCCGCUGAACUUAAGCAUAUCAAUAAGGCGGGAGGAAAAUUUUUAAAUA